UUGCAUAAUGUAUAAUUUAUAAAUCUGAUGUGAACCAGGUUAAUGAUGAGGAUCGAACAUGAUCGUAUUGAUCCAUCAUGCCACAUCUAGUGAGAGAGUAGAACAUUUGAUCAGAUCUGUGUGUCCCUCACUCGCCCAAUCACCAGCUCCCGAUCACUUCACCUUGACACUCGCCCAAUCACCAGCUCCCGAUCACUUCACCUUUAUUCCAGGGAGACGAUCGUUCAGGGUAAAAGGCUUAUCUCCUGCCGACGGCCCCAGGUGGUCUAGGCGGCUCACAAUACACAUUGUAUAUCCUAUAGGUGUGACUCUGUGGGGGGCAGGUAGGAGCCCCAUAAAGGCUGCCUGGAUGAGGCUGUUGGUCUAGUCAAGGUCUAGUCUGAGGCUGCAACAACUUUGGGGAAGUCCACAAAAAAGAAAUGCAAAACUUUGGAAGAACAGCACAUUUGAUAAAACACAUAGAGAGAAAGUGGAUCCAGGAGUAUACAGAAGAAACAUCAAGGGUAUCUUCUGAGGACGAAUCCCUUGCCUGGCACUCCCCAUGGAGAUCAUCAUCCUCCUCACCCGCCACAAGCACUGCCAACAUUGCUUUUCCAGAGGCUGCCACCACCGCUGCCACCACCGCCGCUGCCGCCGCUGCCGCCGCUGCCGCCGCUGCUUCACUACAAGAACAUGCUGCUUGCUUAAAAAAGGAGGAAGGGCGCCAACAACAGCGCCAAGAGGAGCCCCAAGAAGAGCUCCAAGAGGAGCCCCAAGAGGAGCCCCAAGAAGAGACCCACGAAGAGCGCCAAAGCCAAUGCCGAAAUUGUGGACUUCCCAGGACCCUGUCGAAGGGGCAUGCCUUUUACAAAGGGCAUUUCUACUGCACACACACUGCAGGGCCUGGGGCAAAGUCUGCCAAUGAGUGGCUGAAGGAGCAGGAAGAAAAGGAAGCACCAAAAAUUCCCAGGACAACUGCCUUCACCAUGAGGAAAAAGUGGGAGAAUGAGCACAGUUUCAAACCUCCAGAAAACAGAAGGAAGCCGAAUAAACUUAGAAUCUGCCAGCUGUGUGGCCUGCCAAAGCACAAAGAUUAUGGCCACAGCCAGCACCAGUCUGAACACUUUUGUGCUUUUUACGCUGGCAAAUCUGUAGAGUUGUGGCUGGCAGAGAGGUGUAAGGAGUGACCCACCACAUAAAUACUGGUGUCACUCUGUGUGUGUGUGUGUGUGUGUGUUUAAAUAAUCAUGUUAAUUCAAAGUUUAUUUUAGCAUUCAUCGCUUGAAAGUCAAAUGUUAGUAGUAGUAGUAGUAGGAAAGAAGUGACCCUCCACCACAAUAUUGCUUGUGUCAUUAUGUUGUGUGUGUAAUAAAAAUAUGUUACUUCUAAGUUUUUUUGGUAAU
rnacentral:lncRNA from 1 species